GUGUGGUAGUCGAUCACACUCUGACUUGUGGGAAUGCGUGGCGUCUGGCCAGAAAAUGGAUUGCAUUGACAGCAGGAACUGGUACUUUUGGACCCUCCGGGAGCCUCCCGCUGACUGACUCUCCCCUUGAUCAGACUUUAAAUAUUUAUACAACAUUUUGACACAGCGCCUGUGUCGAGAGAGUGAGAGGGUGCGUGUGUGUGUGUGUGUGUGAUACAGACGUUGCCCCCCGAGCUUUGUGGGACACUGUAGAACAGAACUGGACCGCUCGCCGUGCUCUCCUGCGAAGUAGGAGCCUGGUGAGAUGCCAUCUGCAGCCCUGGCAUCAAGAGGCCUCACGGAUUACGGCCUGAUACGCCAUCAGGUGCAGGGUCAGCGUUCCACCGCAGCCAUUCACAACCAUCAAGGAGAAAGUUUUACUGCCGGCUUCUGACAGCUUGUGUGACAUCAGUGGCAAGAAGCUUGGGAUGUGUGUAAUUACUUGUUCUGGACGGUUAAUUCUCAGAAAAUGUGCCAUUUCGUGACCAAAUCUGGGAAAACGAACCAUCCAGGGACGUCUUCAUCCAAACGGCUUACGACGGAGCCGAAAGGGCAGACGACGUCAACGAGGCGGUGGGGCAGAGAAGAAGCUGCCCUCAACUGAACUUUGAUGGAACGGACUGUCGGGUUUUGAACAAAGCGUCAGCCUUGAUACCUCGAGACUUUUCGGUGCCAUCAGAUCCCCAACGUGUUCCUGAUCGCAGCCUCUCUGACACAAAAAUGCAUUCAUAUGUUCAUCUCAAUCCAAACCCUUUUAAAAUGUUAAAAUAAAAUGAAUCUAGGCCAUUUUCAUUUUUCUAAAUAGACGUUUUCUCUUUAAUCCAUUACAAUUGUGAAAUGAUUAAGAUAAAAUAAUGGUUUUUAAUCCUGAUGUACAACGUGUAAAGGUUUAUUUUACCCAUUGACCUGUUUAAUUCAGCUUUGCAUUCACCUCGACCAAGUCUCUGUCGCUAUAAUCAAACAUAUCAAAGGCAAUCAAGGAAGUUAAGAAAAGUGCCUCUCGUCUUAGCACUUUCCAUCUCAGCAUGUACAUCAGAAGGCAUAUUUUAAUAAAGGGAGCUGACAAUAAUACCAUACCUUAUUCAGACUAUAGUCAGUGACUGUUCCAUACACAGCAGAGCCGCCAACAUCGUCCUAUAGGCCAGUUAGAGACCCCCUAAAGAGCAGACAAACGUUGUCCCUGCUGAGGCAUCCAUUUCUGUUUAGUCUUUUCAGGAUAAGCAUGGAAAAUGUAUUUCAAUUUUGCAAUUCAAACACAAUUUACAUUUGAUCUCUAAAAAAGUCCGAUAUUUCAAAGUUCCCUGGUUGUAAACGUGGCUCAGAUGUCGACCUUGAAUUUUGAACUCCAAAUUGCACUUCCUGUGAUGUGAGAUAAACAGCAUUAUGCUGCAGCUAUGGCCUCCAGGUGAGUGCAGAACUGAUGUAUACAGUUGUCUAGUCCACACAAAAUAAAAUGAUGAUAAUCUACUGUUUACAUCUACAUUACAAAUGUUCAGAGAAAAUAUAUUACCGAGUAUAACUUUGUGUCCUCGUGAUUUGUAUUUGCAUAUAGGAACAUUUGUAAUGUGUUCCUCCUGGGCAAUUGUGAUCUAAAAAGCUAAUUAGACUCUCUCGCCAAUAUGAAUGAGCGAUGGUAUUUGAGCAGGAAUCACUGAAGUUAAAGGUGACUCAUAUUAUGAGUGCACUGCAAUCUUCUGGUAAUCACAUACUGAUGAAUCAUCACUCGAGUUCACAGCGUGCCGAUCCUACUAAUCACCUUGUAGAGUGGGUUUGUACGCAUUAGUAACCACGGUGAUGGGCUGAGAUACCAGGAACAGACACUGGAAGACAAGACAAGACUCAAUUUGCAGAGGGAAUGUCCAAUAGCAGAGUCGCCAUUUAGCACGAGGGACAGCGAGGACGUGUGGUACCGGACGGUGGACAGGCGAGACAAGUGUGAAAGGGAAGGCGUGAGAGUCAAGAGGAAGAGGAAGAGGACCCUAGGAGAAAAAAAGCAUUUUAAAUUGUGAGACUAAUGUGACUGUGCCGUCCACAGCUGUGCUUUGUCGUCUGUUACGUUUGUCAAAUGGGGAAAAUGACAAGUUCAACUC